CUGGAGGUAAGGCCCUGAAACUUUCACUAAGACCAGCAGUGCCUUCACUGGAUCUUUCUUCUGCAACAGCACCUCAACAAGUGCUUACGUUUCACUGAAGUAAAUGCAGCAUAAGGAUAUGUUUAAUGGUACCAUUUGGGAGCAAAACCAACUUGGUCAGUCUCAAGGUUGAUGUUAACUGUUCUGACAUGCUCAAAAGAAACAAAUCUUGUCCCUAU
rnacentral:lncRNA from 1 species